ACACAUCUGCAGACCGACCAACAUCUUUGUAAUUUCUGCCCGACCCAAGUUUGUAACCGUAACCGAAGCAAGCAUCUGACCUGCACUGUACGAGCAGUCACACCAGUGAAGCUCUGCGGGGGUCUUUGUCCACAGUUCCCAUUUUUCUUGGGAAGAGCCACUGGAGCAGCUUUACAGCAUGCUACCAAGUUUGGAAGUUUUAUUGACAGGUGAUCUUUGCUACUUUAUGAGGUCAACAAUGUGGUAAAGAAAUGAGAAAGAUAUGACCAGACACCAAUGUGAGAGCAAGCUGUGCUCGUAGCAUGGGGAGGAGGAGUGAUGGACGCGGUUAGCAGCAUUCCCACUCGUGCUGAUUGGCAGGGGGCGGGCAGACGCCGCCCGGUUAAAAGGGGAGCGCGCCAAAACAAUGGGGGGGACCCGCGUAAUAUCGGAGAGGACUGAUCACCCUCGCCGGAGGUCCUGCGUCUGUGAAAACCUGGACGACCCCAUCACGAUUUGGUAUACCAUCUGAGUAUGCUCAAGAGCU